rnacentral:lncRNA from 1 species
AUGCAUCUCGCCAUCUGGAGAAAAAAAGGAGCAAAGGACAAGGUCAUAGAAGCACAUGUUCGGCUGUUAUGUCUGCCGAAAGGGAAGCUGGUUCCUUCAGCCGAGGAAUCCAGAGUCAUGGACUGAAGAGCUACCGGGUUCUCAGCCUCCCAGGUCUGAAGGUGGCCAUUUUUGAACUGCCCAGUUGUUGGAACCCUGAGAAAGGGGCCAGCUACAGAACCCAACCGAGUACCAGCUGUUCUGAUUCAUCUGCCAAGACAUCAAGCAUUGCUGCACCAAAGCAGGAGGUGGCUCUACUCCAUCUGCAUUCCUAGACUGGCCUGGACAUUGCCACCCGCGUGUCCACUGCUGGUCUUGUGGUAGCAGCAGGACCAUUGCUGAGCUGGGGGCAGCUAGUGAGGAGUGGGGCCACACAUGGAGAGGGAGCACCAUAAUCACAGAACUAAAAGUGCCUGGAUUGGCAGAACAAGGACUUAAAAAACACCAGGAGUAAUUGGAUUCAAGAUGAGCCUCCCAACAAGGACCUAGCAAAGCAUUCAAGGAAUGGUGCCAUCCAGAAGUUCACACUUUUUUCCCAGUGCAGGUUAUAUAGUUAUCAGAAGUACCAGAGGUGCUUGAACCCACUCUACAGAAUGGGAGAGUUGCAUUUACUCAACAGUUCAUGGAAGGAAAGUCUAAGGCAAGCUUUGUUAUGUUGUUAAUUGGCUGGGGAAGCCAGAUGUCUUGUUCAGCUUCUGUCUUCUUGGUCAUUCCUUCUUUGCCCAUGCUUUUGGUCUCCCAUCUUUUUGGAAUUGAUAAGUCUAUCUAUCCUUUAAUACUCCAAAAAAGUUUUCAGACUCUGAGUUUUCUUAAAAUGAACAUUUGAUUGAGUUUUCUGUUUUAAGCAUUUAGCACAGUGCUUGGCAAAUAGAAGCCCUUCUGUUCCACUGGAG